rnacentral:rRNA from 1 species
AGUUAAGCUUGUAAAGGGCAAAUGGUGGAUGCCUUGGGUAGUAGAGGCGAUGAAGGACGUACUAGACUGCGAUAAGCUAUGGGGAGCUGUCAAGAAGCUUUGAGCCAUAGAUUUCCGAAUGGGGCAACCCAAUGUGUAGCAAUACACAUUACCUUAAAUGGAGCGAACCUAGCGAAGUGAAACAUCUCAGUAGCUAGAGGAAAAGAAAUCAAACGAGAUUCUCUUAGUAGCGGCGAGCGAACGGGGAAAAGGGCAAACCCAAUGCUUGCAUUGGGGGUUGAGGACUGCAAUAUCCACUGGAAUACUCUAAUAGAACAUUUUGGAAAGAAUAGCCAUAGAGGGUGAUAGUCCCGUAUAUGAAAGAGUAUUUCUAGGUAGCAGUAUCCAGAGUAGGUCAGGGCACGUGAAACCCGGACUGAAGCAGGGGAGACCACUCUCCAACCCUAAAUACUACUACUACACCGAUAGCGAACCAGUACCGUGAGGGAAAGGUGAAAAGAACCGCAGUGAGCGGAGUGAAAUAGAACCUGAAACCAUUUGCCUACAAUCAUUCAGAGCCCUAUGAUUUAUCAGGGUGAUGGACUGCCUUUUGCAUAAUGAUCCUGCGAGUUGUGGUAUCUGGCAAGGUUAAACCAAUGUGAAGCCGUAGCGAAAGCGAGUCUUAAUAGGGCGUUUUAGUCAGAUGCUGCAGACCCGAAGCUGAGUGAUCUAUCCAUGGCCAAGUUGAAAGUGGGGUAACACCCACCGGAGGACUGAACUCGUACCCAUUGAAACGGGUUGGGAUGAGCUGUGGAUAGGGGUGAAAGGCCAAUCAAACUCAGUGAUAGCUGGUUCUCUUCGAAAUAUAUUUAGGUAUAGCCUCAAGUGAUAGUAAUAGGGGGUAGAGCUCUGAUUGGGCUAGGGCUGCUCACCGCGGUACCAACCCCUGUCAAACUACGAAUACCUAUUACCGUAUCUUGGGAGUCAGGCGGUGGGUGAUAAAAUCAAUCGUCUAAAGGGGAACAACCCAGACUACCAACUAAGGUCCCAAAGUUCUAUUCUAAGUGGAAAAAGAUGUGGAGUUACUCAGACAACCAGGAGGUUGGCUUAGAAGCAGCCAUCCUUUAAAGAUAGCGUAACAGCUCACUGGUCUAGUGAUUCUGCGCUGAAAAUAUAACGGGGCUAAGAUAGACACCGAAGUUGUAGAUUGUGCUGAUGCACAGUGGUAGAAGAGCGUUCUAUACAGCAUUGAAGCCAUACCGGUAAGGAGUGGUGGAGCGUAUAGAAGUGAGCAUGCAGGAAUGAGUAGCGAUAAAAGUGGUGGGAAUCCACUUCGCCGAAAAUCUAAGGUUUCCUACGCUAUGCUCGUCAUCGUAGGGUUAGUCGGGUCCUAAGACAAGUCCGAAAGGGGUAGUCGAUGGAAAAUUGGUUAAUAUUCCAAUACCAAUAUUAGUGUGCGAUGUGGGGACGCAUAGGGUCAAGACAAGCUGACGGAUAGAAGUGUCAGUCGAAAGGUGCAAGUUAGGAGAUUGGAAAAUCCGCUCCCGUAUCCCAAACCCAACAGGCUCUUUGAAGUCUUCGGAUGGAAAGGAGAAUUGUUAAGAUCGUCGUGCCAAGAAAAGCCUCUAAGUUUAGCUAAUAUUGCCCGUACCGCAAACCGACACAGGUAGAUGAGAUGAGUAUUCUAAGGCGCGUGAAAGAACUCUCUUUAAGGAACUCUGCAAACUAACACCGUAAGUUCGCAAUAAGGUGUGCCAUAGCAAUAUGGUCUCAGCAAAGAGUCCCUCCCGACUGUUUACCAAAAACACAGCACUUUGCCAACUCGUAAGAGGAAGUAUAAGGUGUGACGCCUGCCCGGUGUUCGAAGGUUAAGAGGAUUAGUCAGUCGCAAGAUGAAGCUAUGAAUUGAAGCCCGAAUAAACGGCGGCCGUAACUAUAACGGUCCUAAGGUAGCGAAAUUCCUUGUCGGUUAAAUACCGACCUGCAUGAAUGGCGUAACGAGAUGGGAGCUGUCUCAAAGAGUGAUUCAGUGAAAUUGUAGUGGAGGUGAAAAUUCCUCCUACCCGCGGCAAGACGGAAAGACCCCGUGGACCUUUACUACAGCUUGGCACUGCCGAUGGGAACAUUAUGCGCAGCAUAGGUGGGAGGCUUUGAAAUCUUUACUCCGGUAGAGAUGGAGCCAUCGUUGAGAUACCACCCUUAAUGUUUCUGUCUGCUAACUAGCUAGAGUUAUCCUCUAGUAGGACAAUGCCUGGUGGGUAGUUUGACUGGGGCGGUCGCCUCCUAAAAAGUAACGGAGGCUUGCAAAGGUUGGCUCAAAAUGGUUGGAAAUCAUUUGUAGAGUGUAAUGGCAUAAGCCAGCCUGACUGUAAGACAAACAAGUCAAGCAGAGACGAAAGUCGGUCAUAGUGAUCCGGUGAUUCUGUGUGGAAGGGUCAUCGCUCAAAGGAUAAAAGGUACCCCGGGGAUAACAGGCUGAUCUCCCCCAAGAGCUCACAUCGACGGGGAGGUUUGGCACCUCGAUGUCGGCUCAUCGCAUCCUGGGGCUGGAGCAGGUCCCAAGGGUAUGGCUGUUCGCCAUUUAAAGCGGUACGCGAGCUGGGUUCAGAACGUCGUGAGACAGUUCGGUCCCUAUCUGCCGUGGGCGUAGGAAAGUUGAGGAGAUCUGUCCCUAGUACGAGAGGACCGGGAUGGACAUACCACUGGUGUAGCUGUUGUCCUGCUAUGGGCAUCGCAGCGUAGCUACGUAUGGAUGUGAUAAACGCUGAAAGCAUCUAAGCGUGAAGCCAACUCCAAGAUGAACUUUCCCUGAAGGUCGCAGGAAGACUACCUGCUUGAUAGGGUAGAGGUGUAAGCAUAGUAAUAUGUUUAGCUGACUACUACUAAUAGACCGAUUGGCUUAAAAU